AUAAAAAACCAAUACAUGCUUUUAAAGUAUGGAAUUUGGUGAUUUACAAUAACUUAGCAAAUCGCAUAGUGAAAACAGGCGAUAAAUCAUUCAAGUUUCUGACCUAUCAGCUUUCGACGGUAUGGUAUUGGCUUACCGUGGCAGUGACGGUUAACGGGGGAUUAGGGUUCGAUUCCGGAGAGGGAGCCUGAGAAACGGCUACCACAUCUAAGGAAGGCAGCAGGCGCGCAAAUUACCCAAUUCUAACAGCAUAAGAGAGGUAGUGACAAGAAAUAACAAUACAAGGCAGUUAAAAUGCUUUGUAAUUGGAAUGAUAGAAAUUUAAACACUUUUUAAAGUAUCAAUUGGAGGGCAAGUCUGGUGCCAGCAGCCGCGGUAAUUCCAGCUCCAAUAGCGUAUAUUAAAAUUGUUGCAGUUAAAAAGCUCGUAGUUGAAUUUCUGCUAAAAAUAACCGGUCUGCUUUUAAUAAAGGUGGUAUCUUGGUGUGUUUUUAGCAAUAAUGUCCUUUGAAAUGUUUUUUACUUCAUUGUAAGAAAUUAUAUUCAGGAUUUUUACUUUGAGAAAAUUAGAGUGUUUCUAGCAGGCUAACGCUUUGAAUA
rnacentral:rRNA from 1 species